rnacentral:rRNA from 1 species
AGGACGAACGCUGGCGGCGUGCCUAACACAUGCAAGUCGAGCGAGGAGAUUCCUCGGGAUGAUCCUAGCGGCGGACGGGUGAGUAACACGUGGGCAACCUGCCUCAUAGAGAGGAAUAGCCUUCCGAAAGGGAGAUUAAUACCUCAUAACAUUGCAGUUUCGCAUGGAACAGCAAUUAAAGGAGUAAUCCGCUAUGAGAUGGGCCCGCGGCGCAUUAGCUAGUUGGUGAGGUAAUGGCUCACCAAGGCGACGAUGCGUAGCCGACCUGAGAGGGUGAUCGGCCACAUUGGGACUGAGACACGGCCCAGACUCCUACGGGAGGCAGCAGUGGGGAAUAUUGCACAAUGGGGGAAACCCUGAUGCAGCAACGCCGCGUGAGUGAUGACGGCCUUCGGGUUGUAAAGCUCUGUCUUCAGGGACGAUAAUGACGGUACCUGAGGAGGAAGCCACGGCUAACUACGUGCCAGCCGCCGC